rnacentral:tRNA from 1 species
AGAUAUUGAAGUAAUAAUUACAAUUAGUUUCGACCUAAUUUAAGAGAUAAAUUCUCCUUAUCUA